GACGAACGCUGGCGGCGUGCUUAACACAUGCAAGUCGAGCGGUAAGGCCCUUUCGGGGGUACACGAGCGGCGAACGGGUGAGUAACACGUGGGUGACCUGCCCUCAGCUCUGGGAUAAGCCUGGGAAACCGGGUCUAAUACUGGAUAUGACUCCAUGACGCAUGUUGUGGGGUGGAAAGCCUUGUGCGGCUGAGGAUGGGCCCGCGGCCUAUCAGCUUGUUGGUGGGGGAUGGCCUACCAAGGCGACGACGGGUAGCCGGCCUGAGAGGGCGACCGGCCACACUGGUACUGAGACACGGCCCAGACUCCUACGGGAGGCAGCAGUGGGGAAUCUUGCGCAAUGGGCGAAAGCCUGACGCAGCGACGCCGCGUGAGGGAUGACGGCCU
rnacentral:rRNA from 1 species